UUCCAGGAUUUCUUCAGUAUCCAAGGAGUACCCAAACUUUGUUCAUCUGAGAGCCACACUGACAACCUUAAUCUUUAAUAAUGAGAUGUUAGCUCUGGGAUGUGGAGAGAGCUGGGAGAAGAAAAAUGUGAGAUGCAUGACGUGUUCGGGAUUCAGUCUGUGAAACUGGAAAAAUAUUUACACGAUUAGAUUACGCUUUUAUGUAAUAUUUUCCUUUUGUGUAAUAUUUGGAUAUGCAGCUGAAUUUUUAGGUACUUACCCAGAUCAAACCACACCUCUGAACAUUGGAGCAAACAUGCCAACUGCAGAUUCAGAAGCUGUGAGACAGUUUCCUGCAGAUAAGAGAUAAAUCGAAGGGAAACCUGGCAAAAAGAUGAUGGUCAAGCUGCAAGAUAUCAUUUCCUCCAAAGCUCCUACAUACUAAUUAACCAUUCCAGACAUAUUUUCAAUAGCAUUUAGGGAUUUCCUCAUCAAAAUAAACUUCCUCCCAUGUUAUCUUCAUUUUUGGCAUCUGGUAAUAUAGUUUGCUAUAAGAAUCAGGGUUAAAAAUUCCUA